AGCCCGUUAGCUCAGUUGGUUGUGAGCGUCGUGCUAAUAACGCGAAGGUCGCGGGUUCGAUCCCAUCACGGGCCA
rnacentral:tRNA from 1 species